rnacentral:lncRNA from 1 species
AGUGAAAUGAUGUGGAACACAAUGCAUUCUUUUAUGGUUGUCUUGGUUGUUGCAAGGAGACAUUGGGCAUUGUAAUGAAUGGAUGACAAUGUGUGUCGCUGGCAAACCUACACUAUGUGCAAUUUUCCUGGUGGUUAUCCUGGGCAAAUGUGUAAUAUCACAAGGGAUAUCUUGGGCAAAUAUGCAAUAUCACAAGGGAUAUCUUGGUACGAUUAUUAAAGAAGGAUGAUGUUGUAAGGUUAGUGGAUAUUUAUAAUAGUGAUAAAAUGGGGGUUUCCUGCAAAUAAGAACAAAGUAAGGCUGCCCAAUUAAGUGGAAACAAUAUUGCGGAGUGUAACAAUCUAACAAUAUGACAGACUGAUUAAUCUGUAAAAAUGAUGCAUGUUUAGAAAAAGCAAAAAUUGCUGCAUAAAUAUAUCAGGAAACAGGCUUCAAAUGUACCUGUACAUUUUUAAAUCGCUUUGAGGUGGUUUUCCGUCAAUCUCAAAUUAACUUGGGCGUUUUAGUUUUUAGUUUGGCAUGAUUUAGGAUUUUUAUUUUAUUUUCAUUUAUGAUUUUCUAUAAAUGCCCCAACUAGUUUAUAUGUAAUACCGGCCAUAACAUAUAAUAUAUAGAUUGUAGAUUUUUUGAUAUAGAAAGUAAUAGAGUUUUUAUAAUGUAUAUGUAUCUAAUACAACUACAUUCUGUGUUGGGUUGUUUGGGUUCAAUAAGUUUUCAGUAGGCAUGAUUUAGGAUUGUUUUUAUUUAUGAUUUCUAUAAAUUGGAUCCCCAAGUCAACUAAUUUGCAACAUAAUGUCUAAUACAGUAACUUGGGUAUAUGGUUGUAAAAUUUAUAAUUGGUGUGUGAUAAGUGAGGCUGAGGCAAGCAGGCAAAGCAGCAUUCUAAUAUGUACAGACAGGGGGUUUUGAAGUAAGUUGUAUUUACAGUAUGGCAUUCUUGUCAUGCUUACUAUGCAGAGAACACACUUGCUGUGCACAGAUUAACAUUGUCCCACAGCAGUAUGCAUUAUAAGUCGUCCAUCAGGAAAAUAUAAUAUUUCACAAAGUAAAAAUUCUUUGGUAUUAUUAGAUAUAAAUAUAUAAUUUCUUGUAACGUUUGUGAUCUUUGGUUAGGCGUAAAAAAAUACCUGUGUUUCCGGUUCCAGACUGACCCUAUUUUUUUCUGCCGACCCUACUAUUUUUUCAACGAGAUUGACUGUGCGACCCUAUUUUCUCCAGAUGGUUACGGGCUGCUAGUAUCACACUAAUUAUUGAACUGUAAAUUGCCUAAGUUUGUCCAUAGGAAAUAUGUACAGUAUCUCUAGUUAAUAUUGAUGUCGGGACUCUACUGCUGCAAAUCGCCCAGCAAAAAACUACCAAAACCGUGAAAAAAAUAUUCCAAAAAUUUUUUUUCACGAUCUGAAACUGGAACCACAGGUAUUUUUUAUGCCUUGACAUCAUUCUGCGCACAAUGAAGUAUUCACGACAAAGAAAAUAUACAAGCAUUAAAUAUUUUCUGCAUUAUUUAUCAAUCCUUGCUCAAUGACAAAAACAUACUUAAUUUUGUAAUAUAGGAAAAAAUAGAGUUUCUGUCAUAUACUGUAUGAUACUAAUAGGAAUUUGAAGUUUUUAGUAGGCAUGAUUUAAGAUUUUUGUUUCUAUUCAUGAUUUUCUAUAAAUGGGGUGCCCAAAAAAUAUGUUAUGAAUUUAGUUGAGAUAUGUUAUGAAUUUAUGAUAUCAUGUGUUACCACAACAGUAUAAAAAACAAUUAUGGUGGGCUCUAUUUUACAAAUACUAUAUAAAUAUACAAUAAUAUAACUUUAUACUCUAUUUUACAAAUACUAUAUAAAUAUACAAUAACAUAACUUUAUUUAUGAGAAUAAAUACAGCUAUAUCAGGAACAACAAGAGAGUGGAGUAGCAAGACUAUGAGCAGUGUUACAUUUCAAACAGAUUGAUUUCCAAACCCGAGGAUUUUCAGAUUCAUAGUUUAUAUUGAUAGCAGUAAUGUAAUAUCUGUAUCACAUACAAUUGUAAAAUUUGUAAUGUCUCUCCAGGAGCAGGGGGUUAGACACGAAAAUGAACGAAUUAUAUAUUAUUAUUAUUAUUUAUUAUUAUUAUCAUAUUCAUUUAUAAGAGCUUUUGUUGGGCAUAUAGACAGGGGGAACUCGUAUACAGGGGGGGGGGGGUUAUUCAAAUGUUACAUAUCAAAAUCUAAGUUAGCCCUUUAGAAAUACAAUAAAACCUAUUUGAGUGUAAUAGCUUUUGUAGUUUUUAUGUUACAUUAAAUCAAACAGCACAAGUUUUUUGGGACACCCGGGAUACAUUUCUACCAGUCUUCCUUUGUGAAGCGAUGACUGGGCUAAGAAUAUUUCAAUAUGUCAUUGCUGUUGAAAUGACUUAAUUCAUCACUAAUAAUACUAAAGCUUGUGUUGCUGAUAAUAUACCAUCCAGCGUCUAUUUUUGACAAAAUUCUUGAACAAAGCAUAUUUCAAUGUUUGCAAUGUGACCAUUGCAUAUGGCUGUCAAAAAACGUCAAGAUUUAGAUUAUUGUUUUGUAAAACAUUGUGCGACUCGCGCCCAAGUAUUGUUGUGGAUUUUAGAACUCUUUUUAUGCUUUAACCCAUUGAGUGGCAGCACUGUCCACUUGACAAGUAAAAUCCUGUGGUGUUAGAGUAAAAUACUAAAGUAGGGUGCAUCAGGGUGUAAUGCAACUUAAAGGGUUAACCAAAACAAAGUUCAUACAUUUUGUUUGAAAAAAGAUUUUUACACAGUAUCGUGCCUGUUCGUGUUUUGAAGUUCCUUGUUACACCUGAUACUGCAUGUACAUAUAUAUACAAAGAAUGUAACCUGGGAGGGGGGGGGGGUAAAACCCUAGUAGGGAACCACCUCCAGGCCGAUUUACACUCACCUGCGACAACUUACCGAUCUGUUGUGUGCUUGAUUUGCACAGUGCAACUCAAGUUGUAAGCAUGUUGUAUGGGACCAUCUGAUGCAAAUGACCAAUAUUUUUCAAUUGAUGUUUUUUAUCACUUGAAAGUAAUUACUUUCAAUUACUGUCGAUGCAAUGGAAGUGUUGAUAAAAUAUUGCAUGAAUUCAUUUCCUCAAGUUGAUCAAUUCAUACGAAUUCAAAUUUCUUUUUACUUCCUGUGCGUUUCCUAUUGGCCAAUCGGUUCUGAAACGAAAUCUAAUUGGCUCAUCCAAAAGUAACAGGAAGUUGAUCAAUUUUGUAUCAAAUGAAUUGAUCAACUUGAGGAAAGGAAUUGGUGCAAUAUUUUAUCAACACUUCCAUUGCAAUCGACAGUAAAAGAAUGGAUUUGGACAAUUUUCAGAAAGUUUGGAGUAGGUUUGUGCACUUCUAGAAUUUUUCAAAAAUAUUGUGUGUUCCCCCCUUUUAAUUUGAUCAAAAUAUUCCAAUUCAUGUUUUUAUCAUUUGGAAGUAAUUGUUUUGAUUAAGGGAACAGUUUUUGGCCAAUUUUCAGAAGGUUCACAUUAUUUUCCUAAUUAUAGACUUGUAAUUGUGUGACAUAAUGACAUAGUUCUACUUUGUGUUCUUCUAACCAUCCUUGAACUUUUGUUCAAGCCUAGUGACUUAUUUCAGUACAUGAAAAUCAUCCCACCUUUCAUCCUGUCCCUUAGCCAGCCAUUAAGUUGAUUUUCACCCUAAUUUACCUACUUAUAUUGUUUAACUCUGUCUAACGUCAGACAAUUUUAUUAAGCAGGGGGUCCACUAAGCAGUUAAUGGGUAACUAGGCACAUGGGCAGUCUCAUUAUGAAGCAUAAAAUUGUCUGGCAUUGGACAGUAAAAUACUAAAGUAGAGCAUGCAUCAGGGCACAGUACAACGGUUUAAUUUUUUUGUAGCAAAAGUUUUAUAUCUGAAUUAAUUAUUGAUUUUUUGCUUUGUUUUACAGAUCAUUACUGAACAUGCUAUGAAAUAUUGAUUUAUAAAAUAUCGUGUUACCAAGAUGAUAUGCCUCGAGGAGAAUACAGGAGGAAAUACCUCUAUUUCUGAUCAAAUUACAACAAUACACCAAAGACAGUAGUUAUGAUCAUCAAGCUAUGAAUUUAAAGAAAAUGUACCAAACGACAAAGACAAUGAUGAUGAAAUUGGAUGCCUCGGAUGAAAUGAAAGGAUUGAAUGUGUUGGUCAGCAGUCGAUAUUUGUGACUAUACUAAAUGGCUACAAAGAAACUAUGAUGGAUAUACAAAGUCACAGAACUGUCUACUUUCAGGUACUGUUCUUUCUUGUUUGCCUGCGAACGGGCUGUAGAUAUGUAGAUAUUGUACCCAGGCCAUUGUUUGUUUUGUUGUUCUGGAUACAAUGAAAUCCUGGCGGUAUAAAUGUUUAGUAUAUUUACACAUUCGAUCUAUUUUCUGUUCAGUUGACUUUGAUAGCUUGAAUGAAAGUUUACGAUGAUUUUCUUUGCCAAAACUGUACUUUCGGAAUUCAUCAGCUUCUGAAUUUGAAAACGGAUCUGAAAAGAGAACAUUUGAGUGUAUGGUUAUUGCAUGGUUCUAAUGAUUCGUUUAUGUUACCAUUGUUUUCCUCUGUGUAAAUAUACUGCCUUGGUGCACACACAUUACAAGCGCAGCAACGCAACAGUUUAGACAGGGUCAUGAGGCAGGAUGUGUACAAGAAAAGCUUUGCCAGAGUUUUGUCUUUUGAAAUACAACGACGAUUGGAAAUUGCUGUUUGAUUCUUUGUAAUAUCUUGUUAGUAAAAAAGAAAUUUGUCACUUUCCUCAUGCAAACCUUUUUCAAAAAACUGGCAUCGUUUGUCUUGGGGUUAGGGGGUACAAAUGGUACCCAUAGCUUAGAGGGUGCAAAUGGUACCCGUAAGAAGACUUGGUGGAAAUCGUGUUGGUCGUUUGGAUUGGCGAGAAUAAGGCAAUUAUGGUGGCAAAGUUUUUUCCAAACAUUUUCUCUCCCGUAGCAAGGUAAAGCAUGUAUAUUCCUGGUAGCCGGUCUUACUUCAUGAAAAAACAGUCCGCUACCAGUGACUAGGUCCCCUCUCUUAUGGCGGUCAUUGCGGCUCAAUGUGUUCAGUGGAACACAAAGGUAUUCAGGCAUGUAGGGGUAUUCCUUUUCAGGGCGUUUGCAUGCGGAUAAGAUGAUCCGUCGCGUGCGAAAAUAGUUAGGGAGAUAGACAGUUUAGAAGCGUCCGAACUGCACAAUACACACUCGCACGAAACGUAAAAAUAAAAUGGCGUAAUAAAACUGCGAAAACAAAAAAUUGACAACUUUGCCAUUUUGAGCGUGUGCAAUAGGGCGUGCGCACGCACAAAGUUUUUUCAUAAGAUGUUCUGGUUUUAACAUAAAUAAUAAAAAGCAGUGUCCGUGGUCGGGGCUGAAUAGUACUGUGGAAAAUUGGGUUGGAAAAUUUAGAUCUGUAUUUUUGGUAUGUAAAAUAACAUCUAAAGGGUUUGGCAACAAUGAUGUCCAAAGCGAAUGUUAGUCCUAAAGUUUAUUUCAUAAAAUGAGUUAUCUUUAUGUAUACUCAAUUAAAAGGCAGU